UACGUAGGCAGCAAGCGUUGUUCGGAGUUACUGGGCGUAAAGGGUGUGUAGGCGGUUGUUUAAGUUUGGUGUGAAAACUCGAGGCUCAACCUCGAGACGCCGGCGGAAACCAUCAGGCUAGAGUCCGGAAGAGGAGAGUGGAAUUCCUGGUGUAGCGGUGAAAUGCGCAGAUAUCAGGAAGAACACCCGUGGCUAAGGCGGCUCUCUAGUACGGUACUGACGCUGAGACGCGAAAGCGUGGGGAGCGAACAGG
rnacentral:rRNA from 1 species